ACUCCUACGGGAGGCAGCAGUGGGGACUCUUGGGGAAGGGGGCAGUCCGGAAUCCUGCAAAACGGGGGAAACCAAGAAGGCGUUCGGGUGGUAAAGCAAUUUUUCCGGAAAGAAAUC
rnacentral:rRNA from 1 species